UACGAAGGGGGCUAGCGUUGCUCGGAAUGACUGGGCGUAAAGGGCGCGUAGGCGGCGUGACAAGUCACUUGUGAAAUCUCCGGGCUUAACCCGGAACUGCCAAGUGAUACUGUCGUGCUAGAGUGCGGAAGGGGCAAUCGGAAUUCUCGGUGUAGCGGUGAAAUGCGUAGAUAUCGAGAGGAACACCUGAGGUGAAGACGGGUUGCUGGGCCGACACUGACGCUGAGUGCGCGAAAGCCAGGGGAGCAAACAGG
rnacentral:rRNA from 1 species